UACGGAGGGUGCAAGCGUUAUCCGGAUUCACUGGGCUUAAAGGGCGCGUAGGAGGGCAGGUAAGUCAGUGGUGAAAUCUCCAAGCUUAACUUGGAAACUGCCGUUGAUACUAUCUGUCUUGAAUAUUGUGGAGGUGAGCGGAAUAUGUCAUGUAGCGGUGAAAUGCUUAGAUAUGACAUAGAACACCAAUUGCGAAGGCAGCUCACUACUCAAUCAUUGACUCUGAGGCACGAAAGCGUGGGGAUCAAACAGG
rnacentral:rRNA from 1 species